rnacentral:tRNA from 1 species
GCUGGGAUGGUAGAGUGGACAAAUACACCAGUCUGUAAAACUGGCGCCUUACGGCUUCGAAGGUUCGAAUCCUUCUCCCAGCA